UUUAUAAGGGACAUGAGUACAUGACUAUGAGUGAGUUAGGCAAAGUGAUGAUGUUUAUAAAGGGAGAAGUUCUCAAAUUUAUAUUUGCUUAAAGUAAAAGAAGUUACCCAAACCUUUAUUCUAGGGUUCACUUUUUUUUUGAGUGUUUGUUGUCAUAUAUCUUUGCUUAAAGUUUGACCCAAAGUGACAUGAUUGUAUUCAUGUACUCCAUUAUAAGUGAAUGAAUAAUUUUGGUGAAAACAUCUAUGGGGUCUCCUUUUGUAUCAUUAUAUUCUGUCAAUUAUACUUUGAGAUUAUAGAACCUUUCUUUCUAUCAAUCGUGAUUCAUUUUGAAUUUGUGCGCCGACAACGGUCUCUUUGAUAUUAUAAUUUUUUUUUUUUUAAUAGGUAAGAAGAAGGGACCCUAAUUGAACCAGCACUUAGCACAGGUGAACCAGCCCAGCUCCGCAGCUCAUCGAUUGAGCCACUCCCAAACAUUUCGCAGUUGAUGGGACUCGAACUUGUAACCUCCAAGUCACAAGGAGCUCUUAUCAAGUUAUGCAUCCAACUACAAAUGUAAGACAUCAAUGGACUAGAAGACAUCUACAAGCUUGGCCUACAUGUCACAACAGUGGACUAGAAGACAUCUGCAAGCUUGGCCUACCACAGUCAUGGCAGACUAGCUGAGUUUCAUGGCACACUAGCUGAGAUGGUUGCCAAAAAAAAGACUAUCGAGCUAUAUCACCUUAGAAUGAUGAAUCACCGUAAAAAAUACUAGCAGACUAGCUGUAGUUAUGUAUCGUUCUCUUAAGAACAACUGCAGUAUGCUAUUAGUAUCUCUAAUGCAGUAUGUGAAAUUGUUUCUAAACAUGAGUCACAUCAAUAUUCGCAAAUGAAAAUACAAUGACCUACCUCAAUUGGAAAUAA